GAUGAACGCUGGCGGCGUGCCUAAUACAUGCAAGUCGAGCGAACAGACGAGGAGCUUGAUCCUCUGACGUUAGCGGCGGACGGGUGAGUAACACGUGGAUAACCUACCUAUAAGACUGGGAUAACUUCGGGAAACCGGAGCUAAUACCGGAUAAUAUAUUGAACCGCAUGGUUCAAUAGUGAAAGACGGUUUUGCUGUCACUUAUAGAUGGAUCCGCGCCGCAUUAGCUAGUUGGUAAGGUAACGGCUUACCAAGGCAACGAUGCGUAGCCGACCUGAGAGGGUGAUCGGCCACACUGGAACUGAGACACGGUCCAGACUCCUACGGGAGGCAGCAGUAGGGAAUCUUCCGCAAUGGGCGAAAGCCUGACGGAGCAACGCCGCGUGAGUGAUGAAGGUCUUCGGAUCGUAAAACUCUGUUAUUAGGGAAGAACAAAUGUGUAAGUAACUAUACACGUCUUGACGGUACCUAAUCAGAAAGCCACGGCUAACUACGUG
rnacentral:rRNA from 1 species